GGGGCCUUGGUUUUAGUCCGGCGAAGACUCCCGACCCUGGAUCGGGAAACGUGGGCUCGAGACCCACAGGCUCUA
rnacentral:tRNA from 1 species